UUUACGGGGAUAAUAAGUUAGUCCCCGAAUACAACCCCUGAUGUAGUUUUAGUUCAGAAAUUGAAACGAGGAAUAUAUGAUCAGGAAUUAAUGCAUGAUAUGUCUGAGCAGUUUUAUUUUGUUAAAGUAAUGUGUAUCUUGUGGACUUGGUAGCUGGUUGUUUAUGUUAUUUCUGUUUUCUUUUAGGAAGUGAGUUGUUGCAGAAAUCUUUGUUGAGAGGCAAUUGUGUGGAUGAGUACUCAAAAUGCUAUUCUGUAGAACUUAGAUGAGCUGCAAUUUGGGGAUCUUAUGCUUGGUUCUAUUCAUAGAAAGCUUAAUUUUUGGGACAAGAAUGGUGAGGUAAGUGGCAUGGAUCAAACUCAAUCUGCAAUAAGUGAGUCGGGAGAAACUCCUGGAAAUCAAUCUCACGAGCAGAACCAGGAGCAUCAACAGAAUGGAGAUGCUGAAGACGAAACCCCUCCUCUAAAGAAAAUACGCAGGGCUCCAAUUUCGGAAGCCAAUAGUUUCCUGAUGAAACAUGUUCACAUUCUUCUAUUACAGUGGACUAUUUUUUUUGUUUGAUGAGUUAAUAAGUUUAUCAUUAAAGGCAUUAAGAAGAUGCAAGUCAAAGGUGGUCAACAUGGACGAACUUUCAGGAGUAAAUUUUAUUGAGAUUUUGGAUUUGUGAAUUGAAAAAUUAGGUGCAUUCAUGCCUAAUUGCAUUGAAAAGUGUGGUGAGUUUUCAUCCGCCGCUUCCUUUUCUUUCCUUGAACUUUCGGUAACUUACCGACCUACCUACCUUUUGGAUAGUAAAAAAUUCGUGCAUUUGUUUGGGAAAAAAUUGGUCUCGUUGAGUUGAUUUGUGAUUCACCAGUACUGAAGUUUUCUGUAGAUGAAAAUGUUCCAGAGCAUUUUUGAACAUGUCUGGGUUACCUUAAGGGCAAAAUUCCUUCAGAAUUUGGUUGUAUUCAGUUUGUGUAGGUUUUACAACAAUUACAUGGUAGUGGAGGAUGGCUUACUUUGUUUUGUAAUUGAUCUGCAGUAAGCUAAUUUGGGUAAAAUGGAUUUGGAUUGGCUCAGUUAUGGUUGAUGGUUGUUGCUACAGGAGUUAGGAAGGACUGCGCUUGCAGUGCGAGGUUGUGGCAGGAUCAGCAGCAUGGCUUGGCAGAGGCCUUUCAUGUGUUUGUGCUCAAAGGAGAGAGAGUGAUGCUCGUCCAUCGUUUGAUUUAACUCCAUCCCAGGAGGAAUGUUUGCUAAGGCUACAAAACCGUAUAGAUGUUGCAUAUGAUAGUUCCAUCCCUGAGCAUCGGAAGCUUUAAAAGCUUUGUGGAAAGUUGCCUUUCCUGAGGAAAAACUUUAUGGUUUGAUAUCUGAACAGUGGAAGGAAAUGGGCUGGCAAGGAAAAGAUCCAUCUACUGACUUUAGGUACAUCAGCAUCUCACUUUCCCAAAAUUGAAAAGAAGGAAAAAAAGGAGUAUUCUCAGGGGUGGUGGAUUUAUAUCACUGGAGAACUUGUUAUAUUUUGCGA